CUAGUUUAGAUCUGGUUCCAGUUUGCUACUCUGAGGCAUCCGCAGCGCAUCUAGUGGAAGCGACGACUCAACGCAUACUUACGUUUAUGCGGACGUCCACAGUAUCGAAAAUUCCACCGAAACCACAGUGUGCAGUAAUGAUGAUGCAGCCAGUAAGUGGUGCAAAGACCAUCCUAUUGCGAUGGAACCAUCUAAGCGGAUGCUCACCACUUUCUCACUCACUGCCCCCGUUUGAUUACCUGUCAUAUAAAAACUGGUGCAGCAUCGGAACGACACCAGCUCACAGUAAAGACCAGAACAACAGCACGAGACUGCGCUGUCUACAGAAGAAGGUCGGAGGUACAGAAGGCAUGGAAUGACUUUCCCCCAGAAACUUUCAAUGAAGCUUCUGAUUUUGGUCACUUGUCUUCCUUCAAAUUGGAAAUUGCUAAACUAUAUAAACACUUGUAGACAAAAAACUGUCUUCUCAAAACCAUCGAAAAAGUCAGUAGAA